CUUAGAAGUCAGUCGUGUUGCGCAUCAAUUUGUUAAAUCUUUAUUUAACAUUUAUGGAAACUGGCGGUAUAUCAUUUCGUUGGAAAAAGAACUGCAUUCUCGCUGCCGUUGUUUCGUCGCUGGAAACUCGCUGCCCCUGCUUUGCUGUUACCGUUGCUUGGUCGCUGGAAGUUCGCUGCCUCUGCUUGUUGACUGCAAUUGAUACGUCGCUGUAAGCUCGAAAUGGUGAGCGCAACGCUUGCAAGACUUAGUUGUUCUGUUAACAGUUGAACUGUCUCUCAUUCGUUGUUCUGUUAACAGUUGAACUGUCUCUCAUUCGUUAUCAGGUUAAAGUUAGGCUGUUAACAUUUUGGAGUCUUAGAACUGUCGCUCGGUCACAUCGGUGAACACAACAUUCCCCAUGCAUAAUGUCAACCCCUGAAGCAAACUUACGUAGGCGAGCGAGGAUGUUAUUAGAGUGUCUACUGAGGUCGAUGGCAGUGAAAAAAGAUUGUCAGAAGGCGAGCUACAAUUACGCAUGGAUAUUUUUGAGACAAGAUCCUCAGAAAAAUGGACGGAUGAUGUACUGCAUAGCACCGCUGCUUCAAUUCGCUCACAAGGUCACCGAGAUACUUCGCCGAGGAAGUGUCCCAUUAAAGGAUUUAAACUUGGAUGAAAACGGUGUCACUGGCGCACCUGGCGUAGCUUGAGAUCAACGUCG
rnacentral:sRNA from 1 species